CCUACGGGGUGCAGCAGUGAGGAAUAUUGGUCAAUGGACGGGAGUCUGACCCAGCCAAGUAGCGUGAAGGAUGACUGCCCUAUGGGUUGUAAACUUCUUUUAUAAAGGAAUAAAACGAGGCACGUGUGCCUUUUUGCAUGUCCUUUAUGAAUAAGGAUCGGCUAACUCCGUGCCAGCAGCCGCGGUAAUACGGAGGAUCCGGGCGUUAUCCGGAUUUAUUGGGUUUAAAGGGAGCGUAAAUGGGUUGUUAAGUCAGUUGUUAAAGUUUGCGGCUCAACCGUAAAAUUGCAAUUGAUACUGGCAGUCUUGAGUACAGUUGAGGUAGGCGGAAUUCGUGGUGUAGCGGUGAAAUGCUUAGAUAUCACGAAGAACCCCGAUUGCGAAGGCAGCUUACUAAACUGUGACUGACAUUGAUGCUCGAAAGUGUGGGUAUCAAACAGGAUUAGAUACCCGGGUAGUC
rnacentral:rRNA from 1 species